AUUGAACGCUGGCGGCAGGCCUAACACAUGCACGUCGAGCGGAGCGGCGGACGGUUGUGUAAUGCCUAGGAAUCUGCCUGGCAGUGGGGGAUAGCGUCCGGAAACGGGCGCUAAUACUGCAUACUCUCAGCUGAUCCUAGGUCGGCUUAGCUAGUUGGUGGGGUAAAGGCCUCCCAAGGCGACGAACCGUAACUGGUCUGAGAGGAUGAUCAGUCACACUGGAACUGAGACACGGUGCAGACUCCUACGGGAGGCAGCAGUGGGGAAUAUUGGACAAUGGGCGAAAGCCUGAUCCAGCCAAGCCGCGUGUGGGAAGAAGGCCUUCGGAUUGUAGAGCACUUUAAGUUGGGAGGCGGUACCAACAGAAUAAGCACCGGCUAACUUCGUGCCAGCAGCCGCGGUAAUAC
rnacentral:rRNA from 1 species